CGGUGCUGUCAUAACAACACUAAUGCACCGGAUCCCAUCAGAACUCCGAUGUUAAGCUUGCUUUUGCAAGAGUAAUACUAUGAUGGGUGAGCUUCUGGGAAUUCCUUGUGCCACACUGC
rnacentral:rRNA from 1 species